UUCGAGAGAUAAUCGAGAGUAUAGUAGUGCCUCACGUCUGUAUAGGCUGGUAUAUAUUAUGUAUAAGCUUUACUGUAAUUGUAAAUAUAUCAUAUAAGAACCAUGAAUGAAAUACAGAGCCACGUGAUCUUUUAGGUCUUAUCGCUCUGUAUUUAGCCGAUGACUGUUCCACCACCAGGACCCACUUGUGAACGAGUCGAUGUCUAUUCCACCGCCGCGCCGGGACUUCGCAGAAUUGGUAAGGUGAAUAUCCUCUCCGACUCUGUGGACAGGAAGGAGGAGACCAAAUGCACCAUUCCUGGAUACGAGCCGAUCUUCCGAGUCUAGGGCUAUCAGGGAUGCUCAUUCCAGGGAUCCCCAGGCCCGUAAGGAGUUGCCGAUGCUGUCGGCUAAAUACUACCCUUUACUGUGAUGCAAAAAUUUUGACGAUUCGUCCGAUCGCCAUUGAUUUCGAUUAGGGAGGCUCAGCGUGGGUGAGAUUUCGCGAUUCUGACUCCGAACUGGGUCUGUGGUUCGACUUUUACGUGCAAUAUCGGACGGGACAGCGCGUCGACCAUCUUGCAUUGUUCGAGAUUUUAAGGUGGAGCGAUCUCGUUCUGCGGACAUCACGAAGCAGAGCAAAAGAGAGAAAACUGGUCGACCGAGGAAGCACUGAUUGCAUCGCCGCCUCUAUCUGUUUGGUACCUAAAAGAGGGUACAGCACAAGAUCGGGACAAUUCCGGUCUUAUGGCUGAUUUUAUCAUCAUUAUGAUAACGUAACGUUUGGUAAACAUGCAUCUAUUUAAUCAGUAAACCAACUGCUACCACUAUAUGUUGUGACGUUGCAGAAAUGUGACAAGAUUAUCGAAAAUUAUCGCGAACGAUAACGUAUUCCGAGAACAUGAAAGGUGUGCCCGCCGUUAGGACUUCGGACUUCGGACUUCGAGGCGUUUCUCGCCCUUCGCCGAGACCGGAAGCGACGGAAAGGAUUUCACGUAGUAUUAAGUUCUAAUCGCAUUUGAAAGUUUUUCUCGGGGAAGUGCGUAGCAUUGUGAGAAGUGCAAUCGUCGUACUCUUGUUGCGCCCGGAUAGAUUAGAAAAACUGCGAGCGCGCGCCAGUGCACCGAAGCGUAGCAUGUACGACCCUCCGCGCGUGGGCGGAGGCGAUCUCUGGGUUCUCUCGUUCAGUUAAUUGUAUCCGCGCCGAAAUACCGUACGUUGCGACUUCGCGUCUCUUUGAAACGGCCUGUACCACCGUGCUGUGUUACCGUACGGUCGCGAUAAAUUCUCGUUAUGACAAUCUUGCUCUACGACCGAGUAACUGUCACCGAAAAAUUGUAUAAAGAGCGCGGGCUUCGGGUGCGGCCUCGUGGCCGCCUAUUUUGUAAAUUUGACCAGGAUUAAAUGUUAAUCUCGAGCCCUAAA